rnacentral:rRNA from 1 species
UACGUAGGGGGCAAGCGUUGUCCGGAAUCAUUGGGCGUAAAGAGCGUGUAGGCGGCCCGGUAAGUCCGCUGUGAAAGUCCAGGGCUCAACCCUGGGAUGCCGGUGGAUACUGUCGGGCUCGAGUCCGGAAGAGGAGUGUGGAAUUCCUGGUGUAGCGGUGAAAUGCGCAGAUAUCAGGAGGAACACCAAUGGCGAAGGCAGCACUCUGGGACGUGACUGACGCUGAGAC